GAGAGAAGGAGCUUGCUUCUUCGAUCGAGUGGCGAACGGGUGAGUAACGCGUGAGGAACCUGCCUCAAAGAGGGGGACAACAGUUGGAAACGACUGCUAAUACCGCAUAAGCCCACGAUCCGGCAUCGGAUUGAGGGAAAAGGAUUUAUUCGCUUCAGGAUGGACUCGCGUCCAAUUAGCUAGUUGGUGAGGUAACGGCCCACCAAGGCGACGAUCGGUAGCCGGACUGAGAGGUUGAACGGCCACAUUGGGACUGAGACACGGCCCAGACUCCUACGGGAGGCAGCAGUGGGGAAUAUUGCACAAUGGGGGAAACCCUGAUGCAGCGACGCCGCGUGGAGGAAGAAGGUCUUCGGAUUGUAAACUCCUGUUGUUGAGGAAGAUAAUGACGGUACUCAACAAGGAAGUGACGGCUAACUACGUGCCAGCAGCCGCGGUAAAACGUAGGUCACAAGCGUUGUCCGGAAUUACUGGGUGUAAAGGGAGCGCAGGCGGGAAGACAAGUUGGAAGUGAAAUCUAUGGGCUCAACCCAUAAACUGCUUUCAAAACUGUUUUUCUUGAGUAGUGCAGAGGUAGGCGGAAUUCCCGGUGUAGCGGUGGAAUGCGUAGAUAUCGGGAGGAACACCAGUGGCGAAGGCGGCCUACUGGGCACCAACUGACGCUGAGGCUCGAAAGUGUGGG
rnacentral:rRNA from 1 species